rnacentral:rRNA from 1 species
AUAUCAUGGAGAGUUUGAUCCUGGCUCAGAACGAACGCUGGCGGCGCGUCUUAAGCAUGCAAGUCGAGCGGUAAGCUGUAGCAAUACAGCCUAGAGCGGCGGACUGGUGAGUAACACGUGGGUGACCUACCCUUAGGAUGGGGAUAGCCACUAGAAAUAGUGGGUAAUACCGAAUGUGGUUACCGGGCUGUGGCCUGGUAAAGAAAGGAGCUUUGGCUCCGCCUGAGGAUGGGCCCGCGUCCCAUUAGCUCGUUGGUGAGGUAACGGCCCACCAAGGCGAUGAUGGGUAGCCGGCCUGAGAGGGUGAACGGCCACACUGGGACUGAGAUACGGCCCAGACUCCUACGGGAGGCAGCAGCUAAGAAUAUUCCGCAAUGGACGAAAGUCUGACGGAGCGACGCCGCGUGGAUGAUGAAGGCCGAAAGGUUGUAAAAUCCUUUUGUCGAUGAAGAAUAAGCAUGGGAGGGAAUGCCCGUGUGAUGACGUUAGUCGGCGAAUAAGCCCCGGCUAAUUACGUGCCAGCAGCCGCGGUAACACGUAAGGGGCGAGCGUUGUUCGGAAUUAUUGGGCGUAAAGGGCGCGUAGGCGGUCCUGUAAGCCCGGCGUGAAAACCUGGAGCUCAACUCCGGGCCUGCGCUGGGAACUGCGGGACUAGAGUCAUGGAAGGGAAGUUGGAAUUCCAGGUGUAGGGGUGAAAUCUGUAGAUAUCUGGAAGAACACCGGUGGCGAAGGCGAACUUCUGGCCAAUGACUGACGCUGAGGCGCGAAAGUGCGGGGAGCAAACAGGAUUAGAUACCCUGGUAGUCCGCACCAUAAACGAUGUACACUAGGCGUUGGGUCGAGUGACUCAGUGCCGAAGCUAACGUGAUAAGUGUACCGCCUGGGGAGUAUGCCCGCAAGGGUGAAACUCAAAGGAAUUGACGGGGGCCCGCACAAGCGGUGGAGCAUGUGGUUUAAUUCGAUGGUACGCGAGGAACCUUACCUGGGUUUGACAUACGGGGGAAGGCGGUAGAGAUAUCGCCGCGUCGCAAGACGCCGCCGUACAGGUGCUGCAUGGCUGUCGUCAGCUCGUGCCGUGAGGUGUUGGGUUAAGUCCCGCAACGAGCGCAACCCCUACUGCCAGUUACUAGCAGGUAAAGCUGAGGACUCUGGCGGAACUGCCGGUGACAAACCGGAGGAAGGUGGGGAUGACGUCAAGUCAUCAUGGCCCUUAUGUCCAGGGCUACACACGUGCUACAAUGGUCGGUACAAAGCGAAGCAAAACCGCGAGGUAAGAGCAAAGCGCAAAAAGCCGAUCGUAGUUCGGAUUGAAGUCUGAAACCCGACUUCAUGAAGGUGGAAUCGCUAGUAAUCGCGCAUCAGCACGGCGCGGUGAAUACGUUCCCGGGCCUUGUACACACCGCCCGUCACACCAUCCGAGUUGGAGGUACCCGAAGCCGGUAGUCUAACCCGCAAGGGGGGACGCUGUCGAAGGUACGUCUAGUGAGGAGGGUGAAGUCGUAACAAGGUAGCCGUACCGGAAGGUGCGGCUGGAUCACCUCCUUU